rnacentral:rRNA from 1 species
CACGUAGGGGGCAAGCGUUGGUCCGGAUUUAUUGGGCGUAAAGAGCUCGUAGGCGGCUCAGUAAGUCGGGUGUGAAACCUCCAGGCUCAACCUGGAGACGCCACCCGAUACUGCUGUGGCUUGAGUCCGGUAGGGGAGCGUGGAAUUCCUGGUGUAGCGGUGAAAUGCGCAGAUAUCAGGAGGAACACCAGCGGCGAAGGCGGCGCUCUGGGCCGGUACUGACACUGAGGAGCGAAAGCGUGGGUAGCAAACAGG